rnacentral:rRNA from 1 species
AACGAACGCUGGCGGCAUGCCUAACACAUGCAAGUCGAACGAGACCUUCGGGUUGAGUGGAGCACGGGUGCGUAACGCGUGGGAACCUGCCCUUAGGUUCGGAAUAACUCCCCGAAAGGGGUGCUAAUACCGGAUAAUGUCUUCGGACCAAAGAUUUAUCGCCUUUGGAUGGGCCCGCGUUGGAUUAGCUAGUUGGUAGGGUAAAAGCCUACCAAGGCGACGAUCCAUAGCUGGUCUGAGAGGAUGAUCAGCCACACUGGGACUGAGACACGGCCCAGACUCCUACGGGAGGCAGCAGUGGGGAAUAUUGGACAAUGGGCGAAAGCCUGAUCCAGCAAUGCCGCGUGAGUGAUGAAGGCCUUAGGGUUGUAAAGCUCUUUUACCCGGGAUUAUAAUGACAGUACCGGGAGAAUAAGCUCCGGCUAACUCCGUG